rnacentral:rRNA from 1 species
UACGUAGGGUGCGAGCGUUGUCCGGAAUUACUGGGCGUAAAGAGCUUGUAGGUGGUUUGUCGCGUUGUUCGUGAAAUCUCACGGCUCAACUGUGAGCGUGCGGGCGAUACGGGCAGACUAGAGUACUGCAGGGGAGACUGGAAUUCCUGGUGUAGCGGUGGAAUGCGCAGAUAUCAGGAGGAACACCGGUGGCGAAGGCGGGUCUCUGGGCAGUAACUGACGCUGAGGAGCGAAAGCGUGGGGAGCGAACAGG